AUAGUGAAGAAGAAGAAGAAGAAGAAGAAGAAGAAGAAGAAGAAGAAGAAGAAAUAAUAUCACAUACUCUUCAACAUAUGUGACCUUAUUCCUUCCUCCUCCUCCUCCUCCUCCUCUUCUUCUUCUUCUUCUUCUUCUUCUUCUUCUUCUUCUUCAUU
rnacentral:miRNA from 1 species